AUUUAAGCACCUCCCAAAACCCUCCUAUACCACUCCUUAUUACUGUUUGUUAAAUUGCCCAGUGCACUAUAUACUAAGCAAGAAAUAACAUCCCAAGUGCAGAUUUUCCAGUAACCAUUUCUACUGAUCCUGUAAGUAGAAGAGAAUAUACAGUGCCAGAAUGUCGGUGAACUACAAACACUUACUGCUUUCUCCCCAGCCAUAGACUCAUGACUAG